GCAGAGUCAGAGAGCAGCCAUAGAGCUGCCAGAGUCAGACAUGCUGAAUCUUUCCUGAUUUCUUAUUUUGCGUGUGCGAGUGUCUUGCCCACGUGGAUGUGCAUAGCUGGUGCCCAAGAAGGUCAGAAGAAGGUUGAACCCACAGAUGCUGCACCCAUGGAUAUGGAGAAUCAACUACACACCCUUUGUCCUCAUAUUUUUUUAAGAUUUAUUUGAUUUUGGGGCUGGAGAGAUGGCUCAGAGGUUAAGAACACUGACUUUUCUUUCAGAGGUCCUGAGUUCAUUUCCCAGCAACCACAUUGUG